rnacentral:rRNA from 1 species
GACGAACGCUGGCGGCGUGCUUAACACAUGCAAGUCGAACGGAAAGGCCCUGCUUUUGUGGGGUGCUCGAGUGGCGAACGGGUGAGUAACACGUGAGUAACCUGCCCUUGACUUUGGGAUAACUUCAGGAAACUGGGGCUAAUACCGGAUAGGAGCUCCUGCUGCAUGGUGGGGGUUGGAAAGUUUCGGCGGUUGGGGAUGGACUCGCGGCUUAUCAGCUUGUUGGUGGGGUAGUGGCGUACCAAGGCUUUGAAGGGUAGCCGGCCUGAGAGGGUGACCGGCCACAUUGGGACUGAGAUACGGCCCAGACUCCUACGGGAGGCAGCAGUGGGGAAUAUUGCACAAUGGGCGGAAGCCUGAUGCAGCAACGCCGCGUGCGGGAUGACGGCCUUCGGGUUGUAAACCGCUUUCGCCUGUGACGAAGCGUGAGUGACGGUAAUGGGUAAAGAAGCACCGGCUAACUACGUG